AGCGGCGCCAUUGGCGUGUGGAAAAUGCCACCAGAUGGCGGGUUAGGAUUGCGGCUCCGUUGAAGGCGCGGCCCCCCGUUCCCGAGCCCCCCGGCGACCACCCUGGAACCACCCCCCCACCACGGGAAUAACACACCGGAGACUUUGCGGGGGGGGUUGGAGGACGAGGUCGACGGCCGGCAGCCGGCCCGGAUGGGCGGCUGAGUCGAUGUUGCCAAAUUGCUUGCCAGAAGUGCUCCACCAAGAACAUGUGAGAAUUCUUUCUCCUACAUACCUGCCAGCAAUAGGGUUAUUACUCUUUCAAAAGUUUGCCAGGCCAGUAAGGAUUGCCUUUGAAGUGGUUUUUAAAGUUUUGAAUUACACAGAAUUCGCUGCACUGUGGAACAACCUUUCCAGCAAUGAUUACUUCAGAGUUACCAGUGUU